GUGAAAUUGGAUGGCAGUGUCAAUCACGAAUCGAUGAACACAAAACCCCAAAAAACAAACAAACAAACAAAAAAACCCUCCCAAAAAUCCGUCAUGUGAAUUUGGAUGACGUUGUCAAUCACGAAUAGAUGCACAAAAAAACCCCAAAGAA